rnacentral:rRNA from 1 species
GACGAACGCUGGCGGCGUGCUUAACACAUGCAAGUCGAACGGGAUCCGGGCUUUCGGGUUUGGUGAGAGUGGCGAACGGGUGAGUAACACGUGAGUAACCUGCCCCCUUCUUUGGGAUAACGUCGGGAAAUCGGCGCUAAUACUGGAUAUUCUUGCUGCAUCGCAUGGUGUGGUUUGGAAAGGGUUUCUGGUGGGGGAUGGGCUCGCGGCCUAUCAGCUUGUUGGUGGGGUGAUGGCCUACCAAGGCUUUGACGGGUAGCCGGCCUGAGAGGGUGUUCGGCCACACUGGGACUGAGACACGGCCCAGACUCCUACGGGAGGCAGCAGUGGGGAAUAUUGCACAAUGGGCGCAAGCCUGAUGCAGCGACGCCGCGUGAGGGAUGACGGCCUUCGGGUUGUAAACCUCUUUCAGUAUGGAACAAGGAUCCUUCUUUUGGGGGGUUUGAGGGUACGUGCAGAAGAAGCGCCGGCUAACUACGUG